rnacentral:lncRNA from 1 species
UUUGUGAUAAAACAUAGCCUAUCUAAAGACUUUGACUGCCCAAGCCGAUUACAUAAACUGUACAAUAUCCAGUAGCGUGUACAUGUUUGACAUAGUCCUCAGAGCACAGGCUAAAAUAAGAAAGACGAAUUCAAAGUGAAAAGGAUACUAAAGCAUGGAAAAUCAAACAAUAAGACAGCUACGACAAAAGGCCGAUGAAAUAUCCAGAAUUCAAAAUGGAAUGUUUCAGAAGCAAUGUAUGUUAUAUGGUUGGUCAAUUGCAGGUAACAUUAGCAGUAUACUAGCUUCAUAUACAGCUGGUAGAUCACUUGACCUACUUUCAUCAAUAUUAUACAUUGGUAGAUACGUAGUACUUUUAUUCAGGUUACGUCCAUUGGAGAAAGAGAUAACAUCUUCCGAAGACGAAAUUGACCACAUUUUCCAUGAAGCGAGAGUAAUAGCUGAACUGAACGACUCGGUAAAUGCAGGCCCUCUAAAUGAUGGAAAAUCCUCAUUACGCUGUUCAUCUCUAUUAUUAUUUGUGUUGGAUCUUCUGCAAAGAAGGACCGGGUCGACCAGAAACAAAGCUAUUGAUGUUACAGAAGAUUCCAAGUCGUCUAUCUCUCUGUAUUCCUGCUGUCAUUUAUGCUAUUGGGCAACAAAAGAAGGAAAUUGAACAUCUGCCACCAAUGUUGCAAAACAUAAAGGUGGUUAUUGAAGAUAUGGGCAGGAAGACAGCCGAAGUGGUAAAAGCAGUACCUAACGUUAGAAUACCAGAAGACAAACCAAUACCAGAGGCGUUACUUAAUAGGAAAAUAGAAAUUAAACCACACUCUACGUUCUCUGAACCCGAACGUCACAAGAAAUAUCCUGAUGUUUCAAGUAAAAUUGAAACGGCACGAAAACACAAGAAAGACUUUCAGUAAAAUGCUUUUGGCACAGUGAAAAGGGCCAGAAAAUGUUUACAAGCAAGCGAAGAGGCGAAAACUUUACCAACAUACCAACUUAUAAAAACUCAGAGCAAACCAAAAUAUUGGACUUCUUAACGAAAUGCAGGAAUGUCUGAAGGCAAUUGAAAGUUUAGAGAAUGAAACUAAACAACUUCAUCUCAAAAAUGAAAAUAAUCAGCAUUCUGUGGCUACACACGUCACAAAAAUACUCCAUGCAGCAUCAGAUGCAUUCGAUAAUUUGAAUAAAUUUGAUGUAGAUAUCAAAUCUAAGCUAGAACAGCCGAAUGUUAGAGAAACGGCAAAAAGGGUUCAGGAGCAAGCAGAAGAAGGCGGCCGUGUAAGUAAGUUUGUAAAUGAUGCAGUAAGUUCCAUGGCGCAAGCAAAUCAAGCAAUGAAUGAUGUUGAAAAAGAAUCUACUUCUUUUUUUCGAUCGGGGAUAAAGGCCAAUAAGAUUUUACCGUCCGUAGGAAAUACAGAAGAUUGGGAAGACAGAGGUGAUCGCUUAGCAAUGUCUGUUGAUGAGCUAGCAAAACAUGCUCAUUGCAUUAAGGAAAAUCCUGAAAAGAUAAUUAACGGCAGUUUUAAAAACAACAAACCCGCGCUUGUAUCGCAAACGACAGAAAUUGCAAAAGAAUCGUUAGAGAUAUCUGAUAAGGUUUUAAGAGUCUUAGACCAAGAAAAUGGCAGUCGAAAUUCCCCGGGUCAGUUUUCGCGUUUUAGAACGUGUGUUUCACCGUGUAUGGUCAGGAUGGGAACAGGACACGGACAUACAACAAACGACGAAGGAAAUACGUUCCGAAGCCCAAAAACUCCGCUCGAAAAUCAAUGAACCUGAUGAGUCAGCCAACGAGUUUAAUAAGUUGUCAUUCGUGAUAAACGGUUUAGCUAUAAUAUUUGACCUGUACAAAUUUUUUACGCUACGUAGAACACACCCAAAAGAGGCGUGGUUGCGUGAAGAAAUUGAAAGAAUCAUUAGAAACGACAAAGUAGCGGGUAGAAGGAAUUAAAACUGAUGGUAUUGAAAAGAAAUGCAUUUACAGUCAUCACUUUCCAAACAUAUAACAAAAUCUUUAAUUUCUGGAUACAGAUGCGUAUUUACGUACUAAUUAUCAUCCUCCUACAAGAACAAAGGUCUCCAAAAGCAGCAACCCCGUUUGCAUUAUGGUGAGCAAGCAAUUUUCGUCUGUAUCUUUUGACUUCUGUUUGAACAAUGUCCUUCUACAAUGCAUGAAAACUGCGCAACCAAACACGUAUACAUGACCAUGUCAAUAUAUUCAUCAUGGUGAAAAAAAACACGUCCAUUUAAAGUUCCACAAAGCUUGAAUUUUUAUUGUUAAAAUAUAUAAUGCAGCCGUCCAGAUAAAUAUUUUGCAUGCUUAGAAAUGGCACUACUUCCAAUAUUGCACAUGAAGUUGUACCGUACGAACCACAAAGGGAAGUAAUCAGAAUUAUGGAUUGAGUAAUACAUUCUACUAUACUAACUCAUAUUCAAAUGUAGGACAUUGUAUGAGGUAACAAUUAUCGAAAAUAGGAAUUAAAAAAAAAAUAUUAUUUUUCAUGUUAGUAGCAAAAAGUAUGACAGCAACGUUAUAAACAAAAAAUUAUGUGAAAUAAACAUUUGCAUGUUGUAUUACAUGUAAACUUUGCAACAUAACUUGUAUACAUGUACAUAAUAUUAUAGUCAGGAUAGUAAAUACGUCAGUUGAAACAUUAACAUGUUGUAUUACUUGGUAAAUGUGCUACAGGACUUGUAUACAUGUCACACUAUUAUAGUCAGGAUAGUAAAUACGUCAGUUGAAACAUUAACAUGGUGCAAUUGUAUUACUUGUUAAAUGUGCUACAGGACUUGUAUACGUGUACAUAAUAUUAUAGUAAGGAUAGUAAAUACGUCAGUUGAAACAUUAACAUGGUGCAGUUGUAUUACUUGUUAAAUGUGCUACAGGACUUGUAUACAUGUACAUAAUAUUAUAGUCAGGAUAGUAAAUACGUCAGUUGAAACAUUAACAUGUUGUAUUACUUGUUAAAUGUGCUACAGAACUUGUAUACAUGUACAUAAUAUUAUAGUCAGGAUAGUAAAUACGUCAGUUGAAACAUUAACAUGUUGUAUUACUUGUUAAAUGUGCUACAGGACUUGUAUACAUGUACAUAAUAUUAUAGUCAGGAUAGUAAAUACGUCAGUUGAAACAUUAACAUGUUGUAUUACUUGUUAAAUGUGCUACAGAACUUGUAUACAUGUACAUAAUAUUAUAGUCAGGAUAGUAAAUACGUCAGUUGAAACAUUAACAUGUUGUAUUACUUGUUAAAUGUGCUACAGGACUUGUAUACAUGUACAUAAUAUUAUAGUCAGGAUAGUGAAUACGUCAGUUUAAACAUUUGCAUGUUGUAUAUCUUGUAAACCGUGCAACAGAACUUGUUUACAUGAUCAUAAUAUUAUAUACAAUAUAGUGAAAUACGUUAGUUGAAACAUUUACGAUGUUGUAUUACAACCAGUGCAAAAGAAAAAAAAAGAAAAGAAAAAAAAACUUGUAUAUAUGAUACAUAAUAUUAUAUUCAGGAUAGUGAAACGUCAGUUGAAACAUUUGCAUGUUGUAUAACUUGUAAACUGUGCAACAGAACUUGUUUACGUGUACAUACGAUUACAUUCAGGAUAGUGAAAUAAGUUAAAGGAAACAUUUGCAUGUUGUAUUGAUUUUUUAACUGUGUAAAAGAACUUGUUUACAUGUUCAAAAUAUUAUAUUCAAGAUACUAAAUACAUGUGGUGAAACAUUUACGAUGUUGUAUUACAAACAGUGCAACAGAACUUGUAUACAUGAACAUAAUAUUAUAUUCAGUGUGUUACAUGUUAAAAAAAACAUCUUAUAAUUUAGAUAGUUUAUAAAGGUUUCUAUGUUGUUAUAGAGACUGAAGUCUAGUAAAUUUGCCUGUUCUAUUUCUUGUAAACUGUGCAAAAAAAACAACUUGUAUACAUGAGCAUAAUAUUAUAUUCAGAAUAAUGAAAUACGUGCAUUUAACAUUUGCAUGUUAAAUUAAAUACAUGAUAUAAUGUUGAUAAUUUGUGAAGGUCUCUAAGUUGUUAUUGAGUCUGGAGUCUGGUAAAUUUGCAUGUUGUUUUGCUUGUAAACUAUGCAAAAGAACUUGUAUACAUGUACAUAUUUUCAAAAUCAGGAUACUAAAAUACGUCCAUUUAAACGUUUGCAUGUUAAAGUAAAAACAUGUUAUAAUGUAGAUAUUUUGUGUAGGUUUCUAAGUCGUUAUGGAGUCUCGGGUCUGGUAAAUUUAGCAAUUAUUUCAGUCUUAAAUGCAACAGGUAGAUACAUUAUAGAUAUAAUUUCAAAGCAAAUCUAGCAAGUAUGAAGAAGCAAAAAGUGUCUUGAUUGUUUUAGAAACAUGUCCGAAUUAUUAUGUUUCGAGUUUUAGAAAUUUAAAUAAAAGGGAAGUGUAUCA